UACGAAGGGGGCUAGCGUUGCUCGGAAUUACUGGGCGUAAAGGGCGCGUAGGCGGAUAGUUUAGUCAGAGGUGAAAGCCCAGGGCUCAACCUUGGAAAUGCCUUUGAUACUGGCUAUCUUGAGUUCGGGAGAGGUGAGUGGAAUGCCGAGUGUAGAGGUGAAAUUCGUAGAUAUUCGGCGGAACACCAGUGGCGAAGGCGACUCACUGGCCCGAUACUGACGCUGAGGCGCGAAAGCGUGGGGAGCAAACAGGG
rnacentral:rRNA from 1 species